CUUGGAGUGGGAAGAAAUCACCUGUUGCCAUUUUCUUAGACAUAACAGCAGCUGUUAAAACAGUUGAGUCACCAUAACGGACAACAGUUGCACCAUUGGCUUGCUUUGCGACUUGUCCAACUUCAACAACAAGCGGUUUACCAGCAAAUGUUGUUGUAAAUGUUUGUUUUGACAUAAAAUACGUUACCUAAAGCAGAUUUUAUAAGACAAAAUCUACUUCAUCCCUUUCAAAAAUAUCUUGUUUUUGUCUACGUUGUUCUGCUACAAAAAGCAACAGAUAAUAGCUUAUCUAC
rnacentral:antisense_RNA from 1 species